rnacentral:rRNA from 1 species
AUUGAACGCUGGCGGCAGGCCUAACACAUGCAAGUCGAGCGAGCGGCGGACGGGUGAGUAAUAUCUGGGAAACUGCCUGAUGGAGGGGGAUAACUACUGGAAACGGUAGCUAAUACCGCAUACCAUCGGAUGUGCCCAGAUGGGAUUAGCGAGUAGGUGGGGGAACGGCUCACCUAGGCGAAGAUCCCUAGCUGGUCUGAGAGGAUGACCAGCAACAAUGGAACUGAGACACGGGCCAGACUCCUGCGGGAGGCAGCAGUGGGGAAUAUUGCACAAUGGGCGCAAGCCUGAUGCAGCCAUGCCGCGUGUAUGAAGAAGGCCUUCGGGUUGUAAAGUACUUUCAGCGGGGAGGCGUUACCCGCAGAAGAAGCACCGGCUAACGCCGUGCCAGCCGCCGCGGUAAUAC